rnacentral:tRNA from 1 species
AAGGUGCCGGGGCUUCUCCCGUUUUACGCGGGACGGGAGAAGC